AUGCCUUACACAUGCAAGUCGAACGGCAGCAUAGGAGCUUGCUCCUGAUGGCGAGUGGCGAACGGGUGAGUAAUAUAUCGGAACGUGCCCUAGAGUGGGGGAUAACUAGUCGAAAGAUUAGCUAAUACCGCAUACGAUCUACGGAUGAAAGUGGGGGAUCGCAAGACCUCAUGCUCCUGGAGCGGCCGAUAUCUGAUUAGCUAGUUGGUGGGGUAAAAGCCUACCAAGGCGACGAUCAGUAGCUGGUCUGAGAGGACGACCAGCCACACUGGGACUGAGACACGGCCCAG
rnacentral:rRNA from 2 species